rnacentral:lncRNA from 1 species
GCACAGUCGGGCGCGGUUGGACUGGGCCGGUUCGGCCCAAAAUGGCCGGGCCGGUCCAUUUGCUCCCCUUUUUUUUUUCUUUUACCCUUUUCUUUUUCUGUUUUUCUCAUUUCUUUGAUAUCUUUUGAGUUUGAACUCCAAAUUGGUGCAAAUAAAUUUCAGAAAAUUUGUAAAAUCAUGUUCUACCAAGAUACAACUUUUGGAAGUAGUUUCUCUUCAAAAUAAAAUAUGUAAAAAAAUACAUUUGCCCUAUAAAUGUUUUAGGGCCAUAUAACUAUUUAAAUAAAAUACUUUUUCAACUCCAAAUAAUUAUCCAAAAAUUAUGGGAUAGCUCAUAUAUGCAAUAAACCCCUUUUAUACUUGAACCUUAAUGGUUUGAAGAUCCAUAGUUCAAAUGGGUGUAAACCCUAGGGUUUAAAAUGAAACAAAAAUCUUUCCAAAGCCCUUUUGAGAUUCAAAUUUGAAUUCAAAUAUGCAAUUGUG